rnacentral:lncRNA from 1 species
CAACUAAUCUAUGGAGCUUCAGUUCAAACCAAGCCUUUCAAGUUCCAGAGCUUAUGCCCUACAAGGACUCUCAGAAGCACAGGCCAGAAUGAGGCAGGUCAGAUGACAGAGGAGAAAUGAGGAGCAGGACUUGGGGGCUUAAGGAGGCAAAUGGCUGAGUCCAUCUAACUUUGAUCCCACUGUUUGCUGAGGCAGGCUUGAAAGGAGUAGCAGGGUAAGCAUAGAAGUCUUCACAGUGUAUUGAAAGUCUGUUCCCUCUGACCCACAUGCUUAUCCUGCACCCAGCUCAUCUCCAGCAGCAGGCUGAGGACAAACACAAAGACCAACCAAACCAGAAUAAGAAAGACUGUUUACUCAGCACUUGCUGUAGCAAGGGAGUCAACCAGCAUUGCUCGUGUAUUGGCAGAGACUCAAAGAAUAACUGCUUGGAGAACCUCGUCUCCUCCUUCCUCUUCUCCACACUGCUCAACUGGGCUCCAGCUUAGACUUCUACCUGAUGCUCAGGUCUCCAAUUUCUUCCUGCUAAAAAUAACAGAAUAAAGUUCAACAUUGAGACUUCUCAGAGAUAGUUUACUUCUUCGAGAUAGUUUACUUCUUCGUAGGAACAUCUGAGGAGACAGGAUUCCUAGAGCACAGGAAGAUGGACAGAGAAAGAUUACACAGCAAAAGCCACCCUGGAUAAAGGAGGUAGUCACUAGUAUCUACAGCCCUGGUUUCUGCGUCAAGUUCAUUUCUCAGGACAUAAGCAAUUGAGAGAAAGAAAGAAAAAAAUAUUUAAACAAACCACCCCAAUAAAGCAGCUUUGUGAGUAAUUUUCUUGAGAAGAAAUGACCCUCCAAUCAGCACCCUUACUAUGUGUUCAAAAACUGGCUCUGACUUCUCCCGCGUUCUUGAAAAGUUCUACCCUUCAACAGCGUGAAGGAGAAAUGCCUGCCCCCGCCCUGUGGUCUAGGGUUGAGGGGGAGAAUAGACAGCAUUUUUAUCAAAGCCCUAGAUUGGUUCUCCUUUCAGAGAAAUAUAUUGGUUGCAAUCACUACCAUUUUAAAAUUCAAAGCCAGUGCAGUUUGAAUUAAGCUUCACAGACUCAAAUAGAUGAAAAUUAAAUUGUUGUAGUUGGAUAUACUGAGAGACUUAAAUAGACAACAGUCCCAGGAAAAUUUAUUAGAUUGUUCGGCUAUGAAUUUUAUAUAUUACUCAUUCUUGUGAUCCACUAAUAUGCAAUUAUAUUCAGACUGAGUCAGUACAAUCAGUAAAUAAAUUAAUGAGAAUUUGAUGAGCACUUUCCCUUGACUGGACCAUGUGUUUGACAGUCUGGAUUUCUAUGUCCCAUAAUAUGGAGGAGACUAUUUUAGUUUGAAAAGUGAGAUCUCAUUACUUUUAAUUCCUGUCCUUCAGAUUCCCCUGCAGUUCACUGUGCUAAAUUUUAGUCUUACACAUCAGAAUGACAGCUCUUCCUCAUGCAUGACUGGUGUGUAACACAUAAGACUCCUGUAUGUUAAUGAGCCACGAAGAAUUUCCGUGCUGCAAGCUGAGGCUGGAGAAUUCAUAUAUGGAUAAAUGGCAAUCCAGCGCCUGGUGAAGGUCCACUUGAGAUAUGUGAUAUUUGAGAGGGGCUAUCUAAUGCACACAUUCACUGACAGUACCAUGGAUUUUUAAUGAUUUUUUGCUAGAUGAAGCCGGAACAUUGGAUGACAACAAACACACACUGUAUUAUAACAUAGUAAUAAUAAUUUUGCAGGCAACUAAUAUAACUGAGAGGUAUACACUCAUCCAUUUGGACAACAUGUCUACAUGUUUUAAAAAUGUGUAUUUAAAUGCAUUGUCCAUUAUGUUACCUGGUUUUCCUGACUGCAUUCUCAUUUGAAUUCAGUAACAGGAUAAAGCUGAUAAAUAAAGCAGAAAGUUUGUCUUCAGAAAGUAGCAGAAAUGUAAGUUAAUGCUUUUUCUCUUUUGCCUUGGUAACAAGGAAGCUAAGAAGAAGAAAAUCAAUAAGCUGAAGUCAAGCAAUAGGUUUUUACUUGGCGUUAGAAGGGUUAUUAUACUUUUAAAAAUGUUUUCUUAUUCCUAAUUGUGCUUAAUUUUUAAGACAUCUCAAAACUGUAUUAGUGCCUGAUGGAGG